GUCCUUAUUCUUAAAAACGAGUUUAAACUUCCUAGAGCAAUAGUGGUAACUUUUGUGUUUGAAAUUCAGGGAUCUCUUAGAAAGCAAUCAGGUGAACCCAAAGAUAGAGGGGACCCCAGAGCCAAGGAGAUAAUGUUGGAGUAAGGCCUUGUGAAGCUUUGACACAGAUCUAUGCUCAUGUUGUGUGUUUAGAUUAUAAUGGGGUAGAGUGGGACACGAUGAGUUGAUGGGCUCUCAUGGUGACAGAGGCACUUUGGCCAAAAGAAUAUUGACAAUAGAAAAUAAAAAGGAUACAGAGUAGGACUGAGAAAAAGCAAAACUCAGGACUUGCUGGUGGAAAUGGACUUGGUCUAAGAAAACAAAAUACAGGGCCUAGUGCUUACAAUAGCUGGAAGGAAAAUUGAUGCUUUUCUCGGCAACAUCUUAGCAAAGAAUUCCAACUUGAAAACAUAAUGAGGACACCCUGGACAUAGGGAAAGAUCCUGCUUUCAUGGGCUGCAGGUGACCUAAAAUAGUUUAGUUAAAAAGCAACACCAGGGUCUGGGGUUGUGGCUCAGUGGUAGAGCACUUGCCUAGCAUGUGUGAGGCAUGGGGUUCAAUUGUCAGCACCAUAUAUAAAUAAAUAAAAUAAAGGUCCAUUAACAACUAAAAAAAAUAUUUAAAAAAAAAAAAAAAAAGCAACUCUCGGGGUCUGGGGUUGCAGCUCAGUGGCAGAACACUUGCCUACAAUGUAAGGGAUGCUGGGUCUGCCCCCAGCAUCACAGGAAUAAUAGGAACUAAGGGGCAUGACUUAAUGAUAGAAUGCUUACCUAGCUUGCCCUUGGUUCACUCCCUAGCACAAAAACAAAAUAAAACAGAAUAAUCACCCAUAAGGGUGAAAAUAUGGAGGCUCAUGGGCCCUUGGUGAGACUGCUCAGUGCUCUUCAUCUUGGCCAAUCUGACUGGUGAAAAGUCCUGCCUUCCAUUUCAACUCUGCCCUAAGAUUUCCUUACACCACAUUCUAGAUCAUAAGAUCUAUAUUUUCAGAACAGUAGAGUUGGCCAGGGCAGGUGUUUUAGUCAGCUUCACAUUGCUGUAACCAAUAUUCCCAAGAAAAACAAUGUAAAGGAGAAAAAGUUUAUUUCGGCUCACAGUUUCAGAAGUCUAGUCCAUAUCUGGCCUACUCCAUGGCUCUGGGCCACUGGGGCAGAGCAUCAAGGCAGAAGGGCACAGCAGAGGAAAGGAGCUCAGGACAACCAGGAAGCACUGGGAAAGCUUCACUUGCCAGGGACAACAUAUCAACCCCAAAGGCAUACACCCCCGGUGACCCAUUUCCUUUAGCCACACCCUACCUGCCUAUAGUUACCAUUCAUUAGCUCAUUCAAAUUAUUAGCCCAUCAAAUGGACUGAUACAUUUAUAAGGUUACAGCUCUUAUAAUCAUAUUGCUUCUGAACAUUCCUGCGUGUCUCACACAUGAGCUUUCAGGGACCCUUGUAUCCAGUCCGUAACAGGGGGUGUCAAGAGAAGAGUUAACACAUGGAGGUGAGUGAGCCAAGGAAUGAGACCUUGGGAAAGACCCUUCUCCCCUUUGAUGGGUGCUAUGCAUUUAAACAAGCCACUUUGAUUCUGAGGAGGGAGCAAGCCAACCAUAAAACAAAAUGGUAAGUUAAUAAAAAUUACAACUCACAGUAGGCUCAAAUUACAUGAUGAAAUAUUGAUUGCUAAAAAGAAUUAUUUUAUUGGACAUAAUUUCUUUCCUAAUAAUUUUCAGUCAUUUUAAACUUUUUAUUGAAGUGUUUGCAGUCACUAGUUGAGGGUACUAGGCUGUACAAUCUUUGGGAUUCCAGUUCCAGGGUCUUCACCACAGUUCAUGUGGAGGAGAAGGGGCUAGCAUAUACCUAACACUGUGCUAAUUUCAGGGAGGAAGUGGUUCCUUGGUGGCGCGGAUGGGGGUUUAACCCAGGGCCUCCUGUAUGCUAAGCUUACACUUGAUCACUGAACUACACCCUAGCCCUAAAUUUUGUUAUAUUUAUGGGUGUGUGUGUGUGUGUGUUUGUGUAUUAUGUGUUUAUGCACUUUAUUUUCCCCACAGAAAAGUUUAUCCUUGUUGAGUAUAUUGAUACACACCUGUAGUUCCUAGCUCCUUGGGAAGCUGAGACAAGAAGAUCACUUGAGAUCCCAUCUCUAAAAUAGAAAAAAGAAAAUUGUAUCUUUCCCAUCUACCCUACAGAGUUAGUUACUCCUAUUUUACAGAUGAAACAAAUAAGGCUCAAAGUAUAGGUCACUUACAUCAUGUCACAUGGAUGCAAGCCAGGAAGUGAAUACAUUUGACAAGAAAUAUCCUUACAGGCUGAAAAUAGUACCAGUUCACCAGUGAAUCAUGAUACAACUGCUACUGGUUGAGCUGGCUGGCGCUGGUUUUAAAUGGUUGACUAUUUUAGGUACGUGUUUGUUCACUGCCCAGCUUCAGGGAUAUUGUUUGGAAAUGAGCUUAGCAUUCUUGAGUUCAAGACUGUUUUGAGUCGUUGGGUUGUUCUGUUUGGCUUCUCAUCUAAUCUACCACAGCACUUCCUGUAAGCCCUGUGCAUUGGGAGUGUGGGACCCUGUCUUAGUAUUGCUGUCUUCCAAGUCCCUAGCUUUGUGCUGUGAUGUGAUUGGAACUUGAUCUUGAUAAACCCUGGAGUAAUUAACAUGGUGUGGUCCACCAAAGAAGCAUAUGCUCUGCUGAGCAUUGCAGAAGAAUCCCAAGCCUAAAGCACUCCAUUUUUACCUGCACAUUUUCCAAGCACAAGUUAUUGGGAGAAAUUGAGAGCUUGUAUUUCCAAUUAUAAAUUGAUGUCAAAACUGAGUCUCAUAUCUGCUUUCUUUCUCUCCAUACUCCCCCACCGCCAGUAAGUGACAGUGGUAACCACCCAAGCACGUGGAUGAGACCCGAACACAGUUGUUGGAGAGAAGUUUCUUCGCUCCAGAUUUCUCCAAAGGAACUUGGCCGAGCCCCAUUACACAUGGAGUUCAAAUCACUGGACUUAGACGUUUGCAGAUGUCAGGGGAGCCUUGGUCCAAGGCUGAUCAGCUGAUGGGAUGUGAGAAAUACCACACUAUUCUGUCAUUUGCUGUUGCUUGCCAACUGUGAAGAACUGCAUGAACUAUGUUUAAGCUGCUUUCUCUACCAUUGCCAGUCACCUUUUUGGACUUGAAAGUGCUAUUUUCCUACGGACUCUUGCAUUAUUUCCAUUUUGCAUGCACCCAGUGAUUAUCCAUAAGCAACAUAUAUAAUCUGCUUAUAUAUUUUUUAAAAAUUUACCCAUGUGAAAUGAUAAAAUAUCAAUUCUGCUCUUUUUUUGCAAAAUUAUAAUCAUAGCCCAUGUCAUUAAAAGUUUAAAUUCGUUCAAUUUAAAGAUCAGUGUAAUAGGUCUGCCUAUACUUUAUAGAAAACUAGCUUCUAUAAAUAUUUUUUCACUGUUUACUAGUGAAAUGAGAAAAGCCAAGCUAUUUAUAAAAGGCCUUAUGUUGUGUAUAUACAUUGUCUUUGAAAUAUUUGUGAUUUAGUUUACUGCUUGUAAAA
rnacentral:lncRNA from 1 species